UGGGAGACUCCACCGUGGUGAAGGAGUUGAAGACUGAUGUAAAGAAUAACUUGAGGACAAGAUAUGAUGAGAAGAAGGACACAUUGUAUGCUGCAUCAGCACUGGAUCCUCGCUUUAAGGCUCUACCAUCUCUGUCUGCUCAAGAGCGAGAUGACACCUUCUCCAGGCUUCAGACUGAGGCUGCCACUGCUGCACUUGAUCAGCAAAAUGCUGAGGGUAAUGAUGCUGGUGGAGAAGGAGCUGAGGAGAUCGGGGGAGCGACU